CAGCAUCAAGCGCGCAGCAGAGGCUCGAGCUCGGGAACUGCUCGGUGCAUCCCAGAACCAGCGGUCGCUACGAACCCCAAUAAAUCUCCUUUAUGAGUGGUGCAGGUGCGCGGUAACGUUCCAUUCUACCAUCCUGGAACUCCGUUCUGGGACGCUACCCUCCGCCAUGACAGACGCCGACCAGCAGACUCAUCCAUCGUCACCCGUCCCUUGCGCUGGCACAGUUCGCCAGCGGGAGCCUCCUAUCUUCAGCGGAACCGACGACAACGACGUUGAAGAGUGGCUGUCGUCCUACGAACGGCCUCCCGGAAUUUCGCCCAUGCAUCACCCGUUCCCCUGAGUCCUGGCCAAAGGUUCCCGUGGAGUGUCAAAGGAGAUUUCACUGCAAUCCGGCAUAGCACCAAAGCACGAGAUGUGCCCCUGCGCACCAACCUGUGCUGAUAAUAUUGCUGAUGUACAAACGUGACUACAACCAUUUUACCGUGACAUCCAGCUGAUGUUUCGACAAAAGUCUGAACAUAAACCCUGGGUCUACCCCCGCCUAUUUUUGCAUAUGUUUCUUGUACAUGCAUGCUCAGUUGGUUGCCCUGACUUAUUUUACCAUAGCCUCCUCCUGUCAAGCUUACACUGUCAUGUAAUUGCUUGUGUUACUCAUGUGCAAUUAAUCUCAAUGGUCCACAGCCACAUAGCAUAAAGAAAAAACAUAACUCGAGAUAUAAAAGUUACCUUGUGGUCCUGGUUAACUGACUUUCUUUUUCCCGUGUAAGAAUGCAUAACUUGCCACUUUUGACAAUAAGCAAGGAAUACAGUAAGCUGCUGGCAUAAUGGCUCAUGUGAAAUAAUAUGACGUUACCCACCUAACUUCUCCGGUUAGUCUUACAUAAUCACAAGCCUGCGUGAUCUGUUCCCUCACCCUAAAGCCAUGUAGUUGUACACCCACGCCACCUUUCAUUUUGGGACAAAACUGUGUGUGUGUAUAUUAUGUAUAUAUA